UUGCUCUUCAACGAGGAAUGCCUAGUAAGCGCAUGUCAUCAGCAUGCGUUGAUUACGUCCCUGCCCUUUGUACACACCGCCCGUCGCUACUACCGAUUGAAUGGCUCAGUGAGGCCUCCGGACUGGCUCGAAGAGGUUGGCAACGACCACUUCGAGCCGGAAAGCUGGUCAAACUCGGUCAUUUAGAGGAAGUAAAAGUCGUAACAAGGUUUCCGUAGGUGAACCUGCGGAAGGAUCAUUACCUAGAGUUUGUAGACUUCGGUCUGCUACCUCUUACCCAUGUCUUUUGAGUACCUUCGUUUCCUCGGCGGGUCCGCCCGCCGAUUGGACAACAUUCAAACCCUUUGCAGUUGCAAUCAGCGUCUGAAAAAACAUAAUAGUUACAACUUUCAACAACGGAUCUCUUGGUUCUGGCAUCGAUGAAGAACGCAGCGAAAUGCGAUAAGUAAUGUGAAUUGCAGAAUUCAGUGAAUCAUCGAAUCUUUGAACGCACAUUGCGCCCCGUGGUAUUCCGCGGGGCAUGCCUGUUCGAGCGUCAUUUCACCACUCGAGUCUGACUCGGUAUUGGGCGCCGCGAUUCGUCGCGCGCCUCAAAGUCUCCGGCUGGGCGACCCGUCUCCGAGCGUUGUGAAUCUCAUUCGCUAGGGAGCCGCGGGUGGCAUCGGCCGUUAAAUACCCCAUCACAGGUUGACCUCGGAUCAGGUAGGGAUACCCGCUGAACUUAAGCAUAUCAAUAAGCGGAGGA
rnacentral:rRNA from 1 species